CAGACGAGGAGCUUGCUCCUCUGACGUUAGCGGCGGACGGGUGAGUAACACGUGGAUAACCUACCUAUAAGACUGGGAUAACUUCGGGAAACCGGAGCUAAUACCGGAUAAUAUAUUGAACCGCAUGGUUCAAUAGUGAAAGACGGUUUUGCUGUCACUUAUAGAUGGAUCCGCGCCGCAUUAGCUAGUUGGUAAGGUAACGGCUUACCAAGGCAACGAUGCGUAGCCGACCUGAGAGGGUGAUCGGCCACACUGGAACUGAGACACGGUCCAGACUCCUACGGGAGGCAGCAGUAGGGAAUCUUCCGCAAUGGGCGAAAGCCUGACGGAGCAACGCCGCGUGAGUGAUGAAGGUCUUCGGAUCGUAAAACUCUGUUAUUAGGGAAGAACAAAUGUGUAAGUAACUAUGCACGUCUUGACGGUACCUAAUCAGAAAGCCACGGCUAACUACGUGCCAGCAGCCGCGGUAAUACGUAGGUGGCAAGCGUUAUCCGGAAUUAUUGGGCGUAAAGCGCGCGUAGGCGGUUUUUUAAGUCUGAUGUGAAAGCCCACGGCUCAACCGUGGAGGGUCAUUGGAAACUGGAAAACUUGAGUGCAG
rnacentral:rRNA from 1 species